GGUUAAGCGACUAAGCGUACACGGUGGAUGCCCUGGCAGUCAGAGGCGAUGAAGGACGUGCUAAUCUGCGAUAAGCGUCGGUAAGGUGAUAUGAACCGUUAUAACCGGCGAUUUCCGAAUGGGGAAACCCAGUGUGAUUCGUCACACUAUCAUUAACUGAAUCCAUAGGUUAAUGAGGCGAACCGGGGGAACUGAAACAUCUAAGUACCCCGAGGAAAAGAAAUCAACCGAGAUUCCCCCAGUAGCGGCGAGCGAACGGGGAGGAGCCCAGAGCCUGAAUCAGUGUGUGUGUUAGUGGAAGCGUCUGGAAAGGCGCGCGAUACAGGGUGACAGCCCCGUACACAAAAAUGCACAUGCUGUGAGCUCGAUGAGUAGGGCGGGACACGUGGUAUCCUGUCUGAAUAUGGGGGGACCAUCCUCCAAGGCUAAAUACUCCUGACUGACCGAUAGUGAACCAGUACCGUGAGGGAAAGGCGAAAAGAACCCCGGCGAGGGGAGUGAAAAAGAACCUGAAACCGUGUACGUACAAGCAGUGGGAGCCUCUUUAUGGGGUGACUGCGUACCUUUUGUAUAAUGGGUCAGCGACUUAUAUUCUGUAGCAAGGUUAACCGAAUAGGGGAGCCGAAGGGAAACCGAGUCUUAACUGGGCGUUAAGUUGCAGGGUAUAGACCCGAAACCCGGUGAUCUAGCCAUGGGCAGGUUGAAGGUUGGGUAACACUAACUGGAGGACCGAACCGACUAAUGUUGAAAAAUUAGCGGAUGACUUGUGGCUGGGGGUGAAAGGCCAAUCAAACCGGGAGAUAGCUGGUUCUCCCCGAAAGCUAUUUAGGUAGCGCCUCGUGAAUUCAUCUCCGGGGGUAGAGCACUGUUUCGGCAAGGGGGUCAUCCCGACUUACCAACCCGAUGCAAACUGCGAAUACCGGAGAAUGUUAUCACGGGAGACACACGGCGGGUGCUAACGUCCGUCGUGAAGAGGGAAACAACCCAGACCGCCAGCUAAGGUCCCAAAGUCAUGGUUAAGUGGGAAACGAUGUGGGAAGGCCCAGACAGCCAGGAUGUUGGCUUAGAAGCAGCCAUCAUUUAAAGAAAGCGUAAUAGCUCACUGGUCGAGUCGGCCUGCGCGGAAGAUGUAACGGGGCUAAACCAUGCACCGAAGCUGCGGCAGCGACACUAUGUGUUGUUGGGUAGGGGAGCGUUCUGUAAGCCUGCGAAGGUGUACUGUGAGGUAUGCUGGAGGUAUCAGAAGUGCGAAUGCUGACAUAAGUAACGAUAAAGCGGGUGAAAAGCCCGCUCGCCGGAAGACCAAGGGUUCCUGUCCAACGUUAAUCGGGGCAGGGUGAGUCGACCCCUAAGGCGAGGCCGAAAGGCGUAGUCGAUGGGAAACAGGUUAAUAUUCCUGUACUUGGUGUUACUGCGAAGGGGGGACGGAGAAGGCUAUGUUGGCCGGGCGACGGUUGUCCCGGUUUAAGCGUGUAGGCUGGUUUUCCAGGCAAAUCCGGAAAAUCAAGGCUGAGGCGUGAUGACGAGGCACUACGGUGCUGAAGCAACAAAUGCCCUGCUUCCAGGAAAAGCCUCUAAGCAUCAGGUAACAUCAAAUCGUACCCCAAACCGACACAGGUGGUCAGGUAGAGAAUACCAAGGCGCUUGAGAGAACUCGGGUGAAGGAACUAGGCAAAAUGGUGCCGUAACUUCGGGAGAAGGCACGCUGAUACGUAGGUGAAGUCCCUCGCGGAUGGAGCUGAAAUCAGUCGAAGAUACCAGCUGGCUGCAACUGUUUAUUAAAAACACAGCACUGUGCAAACACGAAAGUGGACGUAUACGGUGUGACGCCUGCCCGGUGCCGGAAGGUUAAUUGAUGGGGUUAGCGGUAACGCGAAGCUCUUGAUCGAAGCCCCGGUAAACGGCGGCCGUAACUAUAACGGUCCUAAGGUAGCGAAAUUCCUUGUCGGGUAAGUUCCGACCUGCACGAAUGGCGUAAUGAUGGCCAGGCUGUCUCCACCCGAGACUCAGUGAAAUUGAACUCGCUGUGAAGAUGCAGUGUACCCGCGGCAAGACGGAAAGACCCCGUGAACCUUUACUAUAGCUUGACACUGAACAUUGAGCCUUGAUGUGUAGGAUAGGUGGGAGGCUUUGAAGUGUGGACGCCAGUCUGCAUGGAGCCGACCUUGAAAUACCACCCUUUAAUGUUUGAUGUUCUAACGUUGGCCCCUGAUCGGGGUUGCGGACAGUGUCUGGUGGGUAGUUUGACUGGGGCGGUCUCCUCCUAAAGAGUAACGGAGGAGCACGAAGGUUGGCUAAUCCUGGUCGGACAUCAGGAGGUUAGUGCAAUGGCAUAAGCCAGCUUGACUGCGAGCGUGACGGCGCGAGCAGGUGCGAAAGCAGGUCAUAGUGAUCCGGUGGUUCUGAAUGGAAGGGCCAUCGCUCAACGGAUAAAAGGUACUCCGGGGAUAACAGGCUGAUACCGCCCAAGAGUUCAUAUCGACGGCGGUGUUUGGCACCUCGAUGUCGGCUCAUCACAUCCUGGGGCUGAAGUAGGUCCCAAGGGUAUGGCUGUUCGCCAUUUAAAGUGGUACGCGAGCUGGGUUUAGAACGUCGUGAGACAGUUCGGUCCCUAUCUGCCGUGGGCGCUGGAGAACUGAGGGGGGCUGCUCCUAGUACGAGAGGACCGGAGUGGACGCAUCACUGGUGUUCGGGUUGUCAUGCCAAUGGCACUGCCCGGUAGCUAAAUGCGGAAGAGAUAAGUGCUGAAAGCAUCUAAGCACGAAACUUGCCCCGAGAUGAGUUCUCCCUGACUCCUUGAGAGUCCUGAAGGAACGUUGAAGACGACGACGUUGAUAGGCCGGGUGUGUAAGCGCAGCGAUGCGUUGAGCUAACCGGUACUAAUGAACCGUGAGGCUUAACCUU
rnacentral:rRNA from 1 species